rnacentral:tRNA from 2 species
GGCUUCGUAGCUCAGGUAGUAGAGCAACGGACUGAAAAUCCGUGUGUGGGGGGUGCAAAUCCCUCCGAAGCCACCA